rnacentral:misc_RNA from 1 species
CAACCCUUAAGCUUAGCUUAGUGUUGGGAAUCUACGUUGAGCGGUGCUACCCGGUACCUACCCUGUAACGGGGCGGGCCUACCCUGUAGCUACCCUGUAGUUCCUCAAAUUCAACGGCGGAGUUAUAGUUACCUCUGAGCGCAGUAAUACUUAUCACGCUUAUGAAGUGCUAUAAUUUUAGCCGUUAAACCCCCAAUUUUCAAU